rnacentral:ncRNA from 2 species
CUGCGUCACACGUGCCGAGGUGCAGGCAAUCCGGUGCAAGUCCGGAGCGGUCGCGCCACUGUGACCGGGCGACCCGCCCGGGAGUCAGAAAACUGUCUCGGCGCAUGGAUUUUC